CCCACCCCUGACUGACUUUUCAACGAACUCCUUCAACCGUCACUUUUCUGUCAUGCAUCUGCAAUUGACUGCAAGCUGUACAAACUCUGCCGUCAUCAUAUCCAAGGCAGUGAGUUGUGAGGACUGCUUCCCUGAGAACACUGAGUGCAUUCUGGAAUAUUCCAAAUGUGUGCCACUUCCAUACAAAAGAAGUUUCCAUCCCGCAAGAGAGUUCACUCACCAGUGGGCUCCAUCAACAGACCAGGGCAAAGUCGGUCUGUCCUGCUACUACUACAUGCUACUUGACUAUGUCUGGAAGCCAUGGCUGCUGCCCUCAACAUGCUAAACUGAAACCCUCACAAAUAAACUGAUAUCAAUAAUUAACAUUGAUGGUGAUGGUGGCAAGGGUGCCUUCAUAAGGUGCCAUCCAGCAAGUCCCAGCCUGGAGCCAGAGGCUGGCACUGCACGUUGGGGGAGGAUCUAUGUUAGGCAUCAGAAAGGUGGUUGAAGCAAGAAGGAAAGAGCUUCUGCAGACAGUGUUGCAAUUAGACACCUGACUUUUACUGCCAAAGGGACCAUCAGAGCACCUCUCCCUACCAUCUAUACCAGAAGAGUGCA